UACGUAGGGUGCAAGCGUUAAUCGGAAUUACUGGGCGUAAAGCGUGCGCAGGCGGUUAUGCAAGACAGAUGUGAAAUCCCCGGGCUAACCUGGGAACCGCAUUUGUGACUGCAUAGCUGGAGUACGGCAGAGGGGGAUGGAAUUCCGCGUGUAGCAGUGAAAUGCGUAGAUAUGCGGAGGAACACCGAUGGCGAAGGCAGUCCCCUGGGCCUGUACUGACGCUCAUGCACGAAAGCGUGGGGAGCAAACAGG
rnacentral:rRNA from 1 species